UCUCUUGUAGCUCAGUUGGUUAGGGCGCUGCACCGGAAUCGCAGGGCCGUAGGUUCAAUUCCUACCAGAGGAC
rnacentral:tRNA from 1 species